rnacentral:rRNA from 1 species
CGAGCGAACGGACGAGAAGCUUGCUUCUCUGAUGUUAGCGGCGGACGGGUGAGUAACACGUGGAUAACCUACCUAUAAGACUGGGAUAACUUCGGGAAACCGGAGCUAAUACCGGAUAAUAUUUUGAACCGCAUGGUUCAAAAGUGAAAGACGGUCUUGCUGUCACUUAUAGAUGGAUCCGCGCUGCAUUAGCUAGUUGGUAAGGUAACGGCUUACCAAGGCAACGAUGCAUAGCCGACCUGAGAGGGUGAUCGGCCACACUGGAACUGAGACACGGUCCAGACUCCUACGGGAGGCAGCAGUAGGGAAUCUUCCGCAAUGGGCGAAAGCCUGACGGAGCAACGCCGCGUGAGUGAUGAAGGUCUUCGGAUCGUAAAACUCUGUUAUUAGGGAAGAACAUAUGUGUAAGUAACUGUGCACAUCUUGACGGUACCUAAUCAGAAAGCCACGGCUAACUACGUGCCAGCAGCCGCGGUAAUACGUAGGUGGCAAGCGUUAUCCGGAAUUAUUGGGCGUAAAGCGCGCGUAGGCGGUUUUUUAAGUCUGAUGUGAAAGCCCACGGCUCAACCGUGGAGGGUCAUUGGAAACUGGAAAACUUGAGUGCAGAAGAGGAAAGUGGAAUUCCAUGUGUAGCGGUGAAAUGCGCAGAGAUAUGGAGGAACACCAGUGGCGAAGGCGACUUUCUGGUCUGUAACUGACGCUGAUGUGCGAAAGCGUGGGGAUCAAACAGGAUUAGAUACCCUGGUAGUCCACGCCGUAAACGAUGAGUGCUAAGUGUUAGGGGGUUUCCGCCCCUUAGUGCU